UAGUGGAACAAUGCUGCUUAUGUUGAGCGGAUACAUGCCAUUCCCAAGUGGCAUGGCCCUCUGCCUAAAUCGGGAGAAACGGUUAUCAACAUAGAAUGGGGCAACUUCCGGUCGUCACACCUUCCACUGACAGAAUAUGAUCAAACCCUGGAUGACGAGAGUCUGAAUCCGGGAGAGCAGGACUCCUGACAUGUCUGCCAUGCAUCAUGACACGUCUCCUGAUCUUAUGGUGGUGAGAGAAAACUGAGCGAUAUCUUGGAG